UACGCAGGGGGCUAGCGUUGUUCGGAAUCACUGGGCGUAAAGCGCACGUAGGCGGGUCGUUAAGUCAGGGGUGAAAUCCCGAGGCUCAACCUCGGAACUGCCUUUGAUACUGGCGACCUUUGAGUCCGGGAGAGGUGAGUGGAACUCCGAGUGUAGAGGUGAAAUUCGUAGAUAUCCGGAGGAACACCAGUGGCGAAAGCGGCCACCUGGACUGCACCUGACGCUGACACGCGAAAGCUAGGGGAGCGAACGGG
rnacentral:rRNA from 1 species